rnacentral:rRNA from 1 species
UACGAAGGGGGCUAGCGUUGCUCGGAAUCACUGGGCGUAAAGGGUGCGUAGGCGGGUCUUUUAAGUCAGGGGUGAAAUCCUGGAGCUCAACUCCAGAACUGCCUUUGAUACUGAGGAUCUUGAGUUCGGGAGAGGUGAGUGGAACUGCGAGUGUAGAGGUGAAAUUCGUAGAUAUUCGCAAGAACACCAGUGGCGAAGGCGGCUCUCUGGGACGGUACUGACGCUGAGACGCGAAAGCGUGGGGAGCAAACAGG